GGCAUUUGGUAGAGACUGUUGAAGCCACCUGGUCCCAGCAGACCCUGGAAGGUAGCCACAUUCGCUGGUGCUUGGGCAAGGUCAUUGAGAGUGAAGCCUGGUGCCAGAUGUGU
ensembl:rRNA 5S_rRNA 5S ribosomal RNA